rnacentral:piRNA from 1 species
UCCAUUAAUGAUCAAAUAAAGUAAUUCUUGG